AGUGCCUCCUACUGGCCCUCCAACACCACUUCCAGCAGCAUCUGGUCUCCCAUCCAGGGACUGACCAGGACCAACCCUGCUUAGCUUCAGAAGCAAGCCAGCAGUGGUAUGCAGGGUGUAUUACAAACGGGAUGGAUGCUCUUCAUCAACACCAUCUUUUCUGUGAAACUAUAUAUCAGCAAUCAAUCAACAAGACUAAUGAAAUGGAGCAAAUGAAGACAUUAGAUCUGCUAAAGGUAAUAUAUUCUGAAACUCAUUUCUUACUGGUAGAGCUUGUAUAUGAUCUGUCAAUCCUGAGAGGGACGCUCUCUCUCCUCCCCUUCCCCCCAUCUCUCUUUGCAUGUGCUGGGGCGAAGUUUCCCCUAGAUACAGAUCUAGGAUCAGCUUCCCCUCCCCAAACCCAACAAGGACCACUAGCGGGGGGAAUUCAAACCUGAUCCAAAGGCAGGGUCUAUUUGGGGAACUUGUCCCAUCCCCCACAACUCUACAUGUGGAUGCGGCUUUCUCCAGCUCACCAUGCUCACAAAGAAAACAGCAGUGCAUUUCAGCUCUCCCGCUCUCCUCGGUCCGAGAAAACACGGAGAGAGAAAAAUCAACAUAAAAGCCUAAAAGACAGCCGUGGUGUCGCUCUUCAUUUCUCCUGUGGUACAUAAGAAACCCGCUACAAGAACAUGGAUAAAAGCAGGAAUCUCUCGUGCCAAGCCUGGGAAAGAACUGAAAAAACGCACUAAAGAGUCAAGACAGACACCAGAAAGAGACCCAAGAAGACUUGGACGCAGGAUCAGAGGACAGCGAGAGAUGUUCAGAACUCACUCAGUCCGGUUUGGAGAAUGACUUCUCAACCCAAGAGGCCUAAGAGCAGCUGUGAGAGAGCAUCAGUUUGGAAGCAUUUGGGAAAAUGUAGUGCUAAAGAAGGUUCCCGGCAAAGAGGGUUGCCUGUUAUGGGUCAGAGCCAGCUCUCAAAAAAAGAACUUGUAAAGACAUAAAAACCUGGUGCUCAGCAAAAUGCAAACAUACAAGGCUCUCCGCAGCCAGUAAAAGGCUAGCAUGCCACGAAGCUGAAGUUCACACAGGUGAAUGGGAGUGUUGUAAAAGACAAAAAGCUUUUUAGACAUAGCUCUAAAAUGCAGGUCCUAGUUGAGCUUGUGAGCUAGUUCUGUUCUUUUUUGUGUUUUUUUGUUUUGUGGUGGAAAACUUAGUGUGUCGAGCAAAUGAGAAAAUGAGAACUUGUUCUCAACUAGCCUACCUGGUUAAAUAAAGGUGAAAUAAAAAAAAAAAUAACACGUCAACCCUGUUACCAAUAGAUAAAAAGACUACACAAUUCUUAGCAAUUUUAUUUUUGUCUGAAACUUCCAAUUCAAUGCUAGCUGUGGGAUGGAUCCUGGUUCAAGUCCAGGCUCUGUCGCAGCCUGCUGCGACCUGGAGACCCAUGGAUUGGUGCACAAUUGUCCCAGCGUCAUCCUGGUUAGGGGAGGGUUUUUAUUUAUUUUCGUUUUUUAUUUUUGUUUUUAUUUAUUUGAAUAUGGUCUUUAUAACAGAAGGUAAAAUUAGGUGAACUUUUAGUUAUGAAUAUGAACUGGCAAUAUUCUAGUGGCCAUUCUUCGUUGCAAUAGGCCCAUGAAAUAAUAUCAGCUUUUAUGAUGCUGGUAAAGAUAGUACCUUUACCUAGCUGCGCAGUGUAGCCUAUAGGUUAUACACUGAGUGUACAAAAUAAUAAGGACACCUUCCUAAUAUUUAGUUAGCCCAUCCACCCCCUUUUGUCCUCAGAACAGCCUCAAUUUAUCAGGGUAUGGAUUCUACAAGGUGUUGAAAGUGUUCCACAGGGAUGCAGGCCCAUGUUGAUGCCAAUGCUUCCCACAGUUGUCAAGUUGGCUGGAUGUCCUUUGGUUGGUGGAACAUGAGCGUGAAAAACCCAUCAGUGUUGCAGUUCUUGACACAAACCGAUGUGUCUGGCACCUACUACCAUACUCCGUUCAAAGGCACUUAAAUCUUUUGUCUUGCCCGUUCACCCUCUGAAUGGCACACACACUAUCCAUGUCUCCAGGCUUAAAAAUCAUUCUUUAACCUGCCCUGUCCCCUUCAUCUACAAGUGACAUCAAUAAGGGAUCAUAGCUUUCACUUGGAUUCACCUGGUCAGUCUGUCAUGGAAAUAGCAGGUGUCCUUUAAUGUUUUGUACACUUAGUGUAAAUUUCACAAUAAUUAUACAUUUAUGGAUUUUGUUA